rnacentral:rRNA from 1 species
GAUGAACGCUAGCGGCAGGCCUAAUACAUGCAAGUCGAACGGUGUCUUCGGACAUAGUGGCGCACGGGUGCGUAACACGUAUGCAACCUACCUUACAUUGGGGGAUAGCCUUUCGAAAGGGAGAUUAAUACCGCAUAAGACAGUAGCUGGGCAUCCAGCAGCUGUUAAAGAUUUAUCGAUGUAAGCUGGGCAUGCGGCCAAUGAGCUAGUUGGUGAGGUAACGGCUCACCAAGGCAAUGAUUGGUAGGGGAACUGAGAGGUCAAUCCCCCACACUGGCACUGAGAUACGGGCCAGACUCCUACGGGAGGCAGCAGUAGGGAAUAUUGGGCAAUGGACGCAAGUCUGACCCAGCCAUGCCGCGUGCAGGAUGAAGGCGUUAUGCGUUGUAAACUGCUUUUAUACAGGAAGAAACGACUCUUGCGAGAGGCAUUGACGGUACUGUAUGAAUAAGCACCGGCUAACUCCGUGCCAGCCGCCGCAGUAAGAC